GGAGGAGGAGGAGCAAGACAUCAUCUUGGUGAUCCAGCAGCACCUGCAGGGCAGAGCUGAGGCUCUGCACAACCGCCAUUUGCGGAGCCUGGACACCAUCCUCAGGGGCUGCCUAACAGAGACCCCCACCGUGGAGAAGCUGCAGCACCUCCUGGAGCACAUCCAUCGCUCUCUCCUGGCAAAAAACACCCAGGAGAGAGCCAGG